GAACUUGAGUCGAAUGGGUCCAUAGGUUGGAAAAGCUCAAUUAGCGCAAAUCGGAAAAUAUUGAUGCAUAAGAUUGGUCUUCAAUCAAAGCAGGAUGAAGCCUUUUGAGCCAUCGGCAAAUGUGGCCACACUGCAAGAAAGCUUCCAUUAGCAACCAAUCAGACUACAAGCCCCACCAGUCUGCUCCCUUCUUCCAUCCUUUCUUUUCUAUUCUUUUUAAUCAAGUCCCAAACCCCAAGGUUACAAACUUCCAAUUGAAACCCUUGCAACAUGCCAAAACCAAUUUGAAAUGACUAAUCACAGAGAAGUGCCUCCGAACAAGAUACACACCAGCCACGCAAAGGUAUUAUCGUUGCAAUGACUUUUAAAAAAUUAGCAUAAUUUUAUAAGAACACGAAUUCAUCAUUAUUUACAUCUGUGAAAGUAUUAUCAUUGCAAUUAUUUUUAAGAUACAGUCGUAAUUGAAAUUUUAGCGAUUAACAUUAUGUAUUGCUCCUAAAACUCAAUUGGGAUUGGUCAUUUUUCCCAUCCCAUAAAACUUUUAUCGGUGAAGCUUAUUGCGAUAGUGUGCAAGAGGACUCAGGAAGCUCCAUUUUCCCUUCAGUCUCUGAAGACUCAGGAAGCAAUUGAAUGACUGCAAAAUUUUCCAAAAGCACAAGGGUACUGUGGGAGAUGUAUGUAGGGCAAUAUUUAGAUUUUUCACUGGUGGAUGCAUGCUAUGCCACCGAAAUCAUGUUGUAAUUUCUUUAAUCCCCAGAGUUAAAUGGACAAAAUUUACAAAUAGUUUGAGAUGAAUUUUAAUUGGGUUUAAGAUGACGGAUUUGAGUAUUAGAGUUAUUAAU
rnacentral:misc_RNA from 1 species